AGGACAGCAGAGGCACAUGUAACCCAAACAGUAGCAUUUUCCUGUGUAUUUUUUAGAUAAGUGCUACCUGUUUGGGCAACGUUUUCCU
rnacentral:pre_miRNA from 1 species